UACGUAGGGUGCGAGCGUUGUCCGGAAUUACUGGGCGUAAAGAGCUUGUAGGUGGUUUGUCGCGUUGUUCGUGAAAUCUCACGGCUCAACUGUGAGCGUGCGGGCGAUACGGGCAGACUAGAGUACUGCAGGGGAGACUGGAAUUCCUGGUGUAGCGGUAGAAUGCGCAGAUAUCAGGAGGAACACCGGUGGCGAAGGCGGGUCUCUGGGCAGUAACUGACGCUGAGAAGCGAAAGCGUGGGGAGCGAACAGG
rnacentral:rRNA from 1 species